rnacentral:rRNA from 1 species
GACGAACGCUGGCGGCGUGCUUAACACAUGCAAGUCGAACGGAAAGGCCCUGCUUUUGUGGGGUGCUCGAGUGGCGAACGGGUGAGUAACACGUGAGUAACCUGCCCUUGACUUUGGGAUAACUUCAGGAAACUGGGGCUAAUACCGGAUAGGGGCUCCUGCUGCAUGGUGGGGGUUGGAAAGUUUCGGCGGUUGGGGAUGGACUCGCGGCUUAUCAGCUUGUUGGUGGGGUAGUGGCUUACCAAGGCUUUGACGGGUAGCCGGCCUGAGAGGGUGACCGGCCACAUGGGGACUGAGAGACGGCCCAGUCUCCUACGGGAGGCAGCGGUGGGGAAUAUUGCACAAUGGGCGGGAGCCUGAUACAGCAACGCCGCGGGUGGGAUGACGGCCUUCGGGUUGUAAACCGCUUUCGCCUGUGACGAAGCGUGAGUGACGGUAAUGGGUAAAGAAGCACCGGCUAACUACGUG